rnacentral:rRNA from 1 species
UACGUAGGGGGCAAGCGUUGUCCGGAUUUAUUGGGCGUAAAGGGCGCGUAGGCGGUUUCUUAAGUUUGAAGUGACAGUGGGUGGCUUAACUACCCAAGGCCUUUGAAAACUGGGGAACUUGAGGACCAGAGAGGGACAUAGAAUUCCGGGUGGAGUGGUGAAAUGCGUAGAUAUCCGGAGGAAUACCAAAGGCGAAGGCAGUGUCCUGGAGGGUUAACUGACGCUGAGGCGCGAAAGCUAGGGGAGCGAAUGGG